rnacentral:rRNA from 1 species
GAUGAACGCUGGCGGCGUGCUUAACACAUGCAAGUCGAACGGACAGGCCCUGCUUUUGUGGGGUGCUCGUGUGGCGCACGGGUGUGUAUCACGUGAGUAACCUGCCCUUGUCUUUGGGAUAACUUCAGGAAACUGGGGCUAAUACAGGAUAGGAGCUCUUGCAGCAUGGUGGGGGUUGGAAAGUUUCGGCUGUUGGGGCUGGUCUAGCGGCUUAUCCGCUUGUUGGUGGGGUAGUGGCUUACCAAGGCUUUGACGGGUAGCCGGCCUGAGAGGGUGGCCGGCGACAUGGGGACUGAGAUACGGACCAGACUGCUACGGGAGGCAGCGGGCGGGAGUAUGACGCAGUGGGCGGAAGCCAGAUACGGCAGCGCCGCGAGCGUGAUAACGUGCUUCGGGUGAAAAACCACUUUCGCCCGAGACGAGGCGGGAGUGACGGUAAUGAGUAAGGAAGCACCGGCUAACUACGUG